GUCUUUAUUAUAGCCUAGAUAUAUAUUUAUUCUACUCAAUAAUAUAAAACAUUUAUAUAAUGAUA
rnacentral:rRNA from 1 species